AGUGAACGCUGGCGAUAGGCCUAACACAUGCAAGUCGAACGGCAGCACAGUAAGAGCUUGCUCUUACGGGUGGCGAGUGGCGGACGGGUGAGGAAUACAUCGGAAUCUACUUUUUCGUGGGGGAUAACGUAGGGAAACUUACGCUAAUACCGCAUACGACCUACGGGUGAAAGCAGGGGAUCUUCGGACCUUGCGCGAUUGAAUGAGCCGAUGUCGGAUUAGCGAGUUGGCGGGGUAAAGGCCCACCAAGGCGACGAUCCGUAGCUGGUCUGAGAGGAUGAUCAGCCACACUGGAACUGAGACACGGUCCAGACUCCUACGGGAGGCAGCAGUGGGGAAUAUUGGACAAUGGGCGCAAGCCUGAUCCAGCCAUACCGCGUGGGUGAAGAAGGCCUUCGGGUUGUAAAGCCCUUUUGUUGGGAAAGAAAAGCAGCAGGUUAAUACCCCGCUGUUCUGACGGUACCCAAAGAAUAAGCACCGGCUAACUUCGUG
rnacentral:rRNA from 1 species